UGAGGAAUUUUGGGCAAUGGGCGAAAGCCUGGCUCAGCGACGCCGCGUGGAGGAUGAAGGCCUUCGGGUCGUAAACUCCUGUUCUGGGGGAAGAAAACGGGAUGCGUGAAUAAUUCAUCCCGCUGACGGUACCCCAGGAGAAAGCUCCGGCUAAUUACGUGCCAGCAGCCGCGGUAAUACGUAAGGAGCAAGCGUUGUCCGGAUUUACUGGGCGUAAAGAGCUCGUAGGCGGCCGAUCAGGUCUCGCGUAAAAUCCCCCGGCUCAACAGGGGAGGUUGGGGGGAAACGGACGGGUUGAGGACAGAAAAGGAAAGUGGAAUUACCGGUGUAGCGGUGAAAUGCGUAGAUAUCGGGAGGAACACCAGUGGUGAAGACGGCUUUCUGGUCUGUUGCUGACGCUGAGGAGCGAAAGCCAGGGGAGCGAACCG
rnacentral:rRNA from 1 species